rnacentral:lncRNA from 1 species
AUUAAGUAUUCUAGCCGCCUAUGGUCCGUUGCAGUGUAAAAUGUCAAGUUCUGUCGAUGUCAGUUUAGAAUGUAGUUGGGGUCGAUUCCCCCCGUGAUUAUCUUGUAAAAUAUUUUCGAAGAAUUCGUCAUGUUGAGUUGAUAAAAGUUGGUUCAUUAAUUCACGUAAUCUUGAUGUUGGACUUCACCGAUUGUUCGCCGUUUUAAGUUUUGGUCGAGAUUACGUGUUAUCGUUGUGUUAUGUCUCGCGUUCGUUGUGUUGAGCGUUAUCGGCUGUGACGGACAGCCAAAUUUCCCGCCGGGUCAGAAUCGGCUUCGUCUGGAAUGAUCCCGCCAUGUCUCCUUAUCUUGGCCUCUAAUACCUCCCUUCUACCUAUGGUUCCAACGCCAUCCGCGAGUGGCGCCCUGGGAACUAAAAGUGCGUGAAUGCUUAAAGAAUAGUGCUGCUAGCCGGGAAGUAGGGAGGGAUCAGCACAGUGGUUAGCAUAUUGACUUGUGAAUUCCAAAUUUGAUUGCUCAAGCCCCGACAAAUUCUAGUGUAAUUUCUAAACUAAUGCGAUGGCCAUAGAUUUCGAUCUUAAGGGUACGAAGGUAAUUCGGAAAUUUCGUGAUUUAAACUCGACGCCGAAAUGUGUAAAAGAUCGACCCGAUUUUACCGUAAAAAAAAAUCCGUAUUUUUAAUCGUUUCUGGACUUUGUUCAGGGUUCAGGAAAUUCGAAGCCCAAGGGCACUCGUAACUGGAGUUAAUUUAGAAAAUCGUUGACGAACUCGUAUAUAUUGAAACUCGUAUAAUAUAAUCGACUCUUAAGUCACUCUGAUUGCGCUAAAGGUGUGUCGAAGACUAAAGAAAAAUGGGAUCCUCCAGUGUAAGUAACGGAGGUACCGUCGAUCCGAAAGUAACUUUGGCGCUUUGCACGAAGGCGAAACGAGCUCACACUCGAAGAGCAAAAUAAAUUCAGUUCUUUGAUCGAGCAAGUGGCCCCUAAUGAAGAGGUAGAAGUAUAUAACUAAACGAUUGUCUUCUUCGGAAACCGGUGCUGCUGGCCAACUUGGUAGGAGUUCUGAUACGAUCCAGAGAAGCGCCUAUUUCAGUAUCUGGAGACAUUGAGGCGAUCGGUGUAUGAUCAAGUUCGCGUACGCUCGCCCGAUCAAAGCUUCCAACGGUUCUUGUGGCGGAGACCCAGCAGCACAGAAGCGCCGAAAACCCACCAAAUGAUGGUUCAGGUAUUUGGUUUAAUUUCGUCUCCGACGUCAUGUUUGUAUGCUUUACAGAACGCAGCAAAUAAUCACGACAAAUUCCAUCCUAUCUUUGAUACCUGCAAGUGAAUGAGUACAUCAAACCCCGAAGUUAGAUCUGGAUGACCUUCCAGUUGAGCGCUCACUAUUGGUGUUCUGUGGGAUUGCCAACACGACUGUUUCAAAAUCGCGACCCACCAGCCAAGAAUAGUCCGAACGAAGCGAGAAAUGCUGGCAGAAAUAGCAAGAAUAUUCGACCCAUUAAUAUUUAUCCUUCUCAUCACGACGUAACCAAUGUAUUGUCCCAAUAGGUAUGGAAGAUGACGCGCCCGAAACCGAAUUAUCCGUCAAAACGGGAACCACUUCAGUGGGAUGAGAUGCUGCCCGAUCAUGUGGUCACAUUUAGAAGACGUUCGUGGGCCCAGAUGCUUCCGUGAUCAACGUUUUAUCAACUACUCGUUUCGAGCUACAUUUUGUCUGUGACGCAUCAGAAGUUGCAUUUGGCGCAUGUUUUUAUUUACGGCUGGAGUGUAUGAAGAAAAUGUCGACGUCAAGUUUGUAUUUGCCAAAUCAAGAGUAGCGCAAAUUAAAAGUUUAUCCAUCCCACGUUUUAGAAUUACAAGCCGCCGUGUUGGCGACGCGGAUUGCCGUAUCCGUGAAGAAAGAACUGAGACUGCCGUAUCAGAGAGAGAAGAGGCCCUGCGAACCCUCAGCCAGAGAAUGCAAGAUACAGCGAGCAAGACCAGCCCCGCAUAUGUCGGCUCCACUACCAAGGCCCCGAAUUGAACUGUUCCGGCCAGCCUUUGCCAGCGUCUGGCUCGACUUCUUCAAACCAUACUCGUCAUCGGUCGGAGAAGGGAGAAGCGAUGGGCCUGCCUAUUUACAGGCCUAACGACUAGAGCAGUCCAUCUUGAAAUGGUGUAUAAAAUGGAUACGGAUUAAUUUAUCAUGGCGUUUAUUAGGUUUUAACGCGUUCGAGGCAUAACGCCAACGGAAGUAUACAGAGAUAACGGGAGGAACAUCACUGCUGGAGAAAAGGAGUUGCAUCGGUUUUACUAAUCUAGUCGGUGAUCCGAAUUUACCUACCGAACGGGCCAAAAGAAAAACCCAGUGGCAUUUUUCGCCGCCGUCGGCGCCACACUUUGGAGGCGUCUGGGAGCGCCUGGUUCAAUCUAGCAAACGAGCUAUCAAGACCAUUUUGAACGAGCAAGCCCUGUCCGACGAGGUUUUAGUGAUAGCAUUCACUGAAGUAUCGGCGUUACUCAAUGGACGGCCCUUCACGCAUAAUCCACCAAGGAGUAACCACAGCUGUUGGGCCCCGCUGGACUGUUGCGGACCAGAUUGCUGUCCGCAAAAUGAAAUAUGCGGCAACCGGGGAAGAGGACAGGUGUGGAAGAAGAAGGAGGCGGCGGCGGCAUUAUAGAAGAAAUCGUAGCCGCGAUAACGUCAAGUUCUUGCUCCGUCUAUAUAUUUCGCCUUUUCAACGUGUUGGAAAAUACAGAUCGAAGUGACGGCAGUAUAAAUUCGUUUUCUUAUUUGUGGUUCGUCACAGGAACAGUGACUAGUACGAACGUAACAUCACCUACGUCAAACAAUGUUCAGAAGACUC